rnacentral:rRNA from 1 species
AGUGAACGCUGGCGGUAGGCCUAACACAUGCAAGUCGAACGGCAGCACAGUAAGAGCUUGCUCUUACGGGUGGCGAGUGGCGGACGGGUGAGGAAUACAUCGGAAUCUACUUUUUCGUGGGGGAUAACGUAGGGAAACUUACGCUAAUACCGCAUACGACCUACGGGUGAAAGCAGGGGAUCUUCGGACCUUGCGCGAUUGAAUGAGCCGAUGUCGGAUUAGCUAGUUGGCGGGGUAAAGGCCCACCAAGGCGACGAUCCGUAGCUGGUCUGAGAGGAUGAUAAGCCACACUGGAACUGAGACACGGUCCAGACUACUACGGGAGGCAGCAGUGGGGAAUAUUGGGCAAUGGGCGCAAGCCUGAUCCAGCCAUACCGCGUGGGUGAAGAAGGCCUUCGGGUUGUAAAGCCCUUUUGUUGGGAAAGAAAAGCAGCAGGUUAAUACCCCGCUGUUCUGACGGUACCCAAAGAAUAAGCACCGGCUAACUUCGUG